rnacentral:rRNA from 1 species
ACAUGCGACCACAGGAAGUCCGACUAAACCGAAACCCGUUCGCUCUUCGUUAGUUAAACGGCUUUCCGGCGUGCUAGUAGCCAGGUGGGUGACCACUGGCGAAUCCACGCUGUUGCAUGUU